rnacentral:rRNA from 1 species
UACGGAGGGAGCUAGCGUUGUUCGGAAUUACUGGGCGUAAAGCGCGCGUAGGCGGCUUUGUAAGUUAGAGGUGAAAGCCCGGGGCUCAACCCCGGAACUGCCUUUAAGACUGCAUCGCUUGAAUCCGGGAGAGGUGAGUGGAAUUCCGAGUGUAGAGGUGAAAUUCGUAGAUAUCGAGAGGAACACCGGUGGCGAAGGCGGCUACCUGGACGGCUAUUGACGCUGAGACGCGAAAGCGUGGGGAGCAAACAGG